rnacentral:rRNA from 1 species
CUACGGGUGGCACCAGUGGGGAAUAUUGCACAAUGGAGGAAACUCUGAUGCAGCAACGCCGCGUGGAGGAUGACACUUUUCGGAGCGUAAACUCCUUUUAUAUAGGAAGAAGAUGACGGUACUAUAUGAAUAAGCGCCGGCUAACUCCGUGCCAGCAGCCGCGGUAAUACGGAGGGCGCAAGCGUUACUCGGAAUCACUGGGCGUAAAGAGCGUGUAGGCGGAUUAAAAAGUCAGAAGUGAAAUCCUAUAGCUUAACUAUAGAACUGCUUCUGAAACUCUUAAUCUAGAAUGUGGGAGAGGUAGAUGGAAUUUCUGGUGUGGGGGUAAAAUCCGUAGAGAUCAGAAGGAAUACCGAUUGCGAAGGCGAUCUACUAGAACAUUAUUGACGCUGAGACGCGAAAGCGUGGGGAGCAAACAGGAUUAGAUACCCGAGUAGUC